rnacentral:rRNA from 1 species
UACGAAGGGGGCGAGCGUUGUUCGGAGUUACUGGGCGUAAAGGGCGCGUAGGCGGCGACCCAAGUCAGAUGUGAAAGUCCUGGGCUUAACCUGGGGACUGCAUUUGAUACUGGGUUGCUUGAAUUCGGGAGAGGAUAGCGGAAUUCCCAGUGUAGAGGUGAAAUUCGUAGAUAUUGGGAAGAACACCGGUGGCGAAGGCGGCUAUCUGGACCGACAUUGACGCUGAGGCGCGAAAGCGUGGGGAGCAAACAGG